AUCGAUUUCGAGAUUCAGAGCGAUUUCGAAGCUCCAUCGCCACCGUCAUUUGCACCGGCAAGGUAGUGAGCUCCACCGUCUCUCUCUCUCUCUCUCUCUCUCUCUAGAUCUCAUACUGAUUGUACCUUUAUAAGGGUUUCUGGUUCUGAGUUGGUUCAGAAGUAUAUUGGUGAGGGCUUUCGAAUGGUUAGAGAACUUUUUUUUAUGGCCAGGUUUGUCCGACUUCAUUGAUAACAUUGUUAUUGCAAAAAAAUUAUAAUAUCUUGUAUAUCAGGUUAAUAAAUCUUUUUAGUCUACAGAAGUGUUAUAUAGUUCCUCUUACAUGUUUUAUGUGUGAUUUAUUUUUGUUUAUGUUGCACAAGGAGCAUGCUCCAUCAAUCAUCUUUAUGGAUGAAAUCGACAGCAUUGGAUUUGCUUGAAUGGAAUCUGGAUCUGGUAAUGGUGAUAGUGAAGUACAGGGGACGAUGCUGGAGCUUCUCAAUCAACUGGAUGGAUUUGAGCAUCAAACAAAAUCAAAGUUAUUCUUUUUGAUGCCAAUGUUCCUGGUGAAGGGGAACAUAAAAUUAUGUCGAAUAUUCGUCUUCAAAGAACCUUCCUAGGUAUGAACCCAACACACGCCAUUGCUUGUAUGGUUUGGAUGCUGAUAUAAUCAUGUUGGCUUUGGCUACCCAUGAAGUCCAUUUUGCAAUACGCAGGGAGGUCGUAUUUACCCCUGGACAACAAGAUUAGGUCAUUUAGCAGCAGACUGCGAAGGUAAGGCAAAGAGAAAGGCUGGGGAUUUUGAUGAGAAAGGUGAUGCUAAUGUCGUGCCCAAAAAGCCUUAUCAGGUAUGUUUUGAUUCCCAUUGAAAAGUAAUAGGUACGUAUUUCUUUUCAUUGGGCUGUUUUAGUUACUGUUUCCUUAAGUUGUUUUCAUUUUGCAGUUUCUCAACAUUUGGACUCGUAGAGAGUAUUUAGAAUAUGAAAUGAGGAUUCCUAAUCUGCCUUUUGAGUUUGAUUUUGAGUGCAUUGUUGAUGACUUCAUCUUCAUGUGUUUCUUUGUGGGCAAUGAUUUUUUACCCCACAUGCCUACACUGGAGAUAUCUUUAGUUAUGCCUGAAAUAUGUAUGGUUAUGGCAUAUUUGAGUAUUAAUUGUGAUUUAGUUAUUACAUAUUGUGAUAAAAUGAGUAAUUUAUUGGUCUAAAAGUAAUUUUUUGGCUCUCUCAUUUUCCUUCAUUUUUCCACAGUUCCUCUCUUAUUUUCUCUCACUUCCUCGCCCCAGCAAAUUCCGACGGACGGUCUCCAGCAAGAAAAGGUAUUCACUUGUCUAGAAGGAGUAUGCUUUUAUCAAAGAAAGAUACUAAAACCUAUCUCUAUCAAUCAAUCUCUCUCAUCUCAAGGACGCGGUAUCACAUCCAAUUUGGGCUUUUAUACAUGCUUCCUUCAACAAGAAUUCUACGUAAGUUUGUUUCCAGCAUUAUGUUAAGAGUUCCAUCCUUCCUUGCUUUAGUUUUAUUUCUUAUCAAUUAUUUUCAUUCAUUUUUUGUCUUUA